UUGGCAACGUUGACAUACUAAAAUACCUAAAUGGUUAUUCCACCGUUAAAUUAUUUCUUUGGGUUUUUAUUUUAUUUUUAAAGAGACUUUUAAAUCAUAUGAUUAUGAUGAUUGGCUUUGGAAUCUCUCAACAUUAUUAUGAACAAAGCGGUCGAGGACGGCAUGGUCGAUGGGUUAAUGUUACCCAACGGGGGCCCUUUAAUUUCACAUCUCUUCUACGCCGAUGACGUAGUGUUUGUGGGAGAAGGUAAAUUGGAUCAUGUGAAAAACUUGGAACGAAUUCUGCGGUGCUUUUAUAUGGCUUCAGGUCUGAGGGCCAGCCCAUCUAAAAGAAAGGUAUAUGGGGUCGGGCUGGAUGAUUCGAGUAUGGGAUGCUUCGCCAGAGCUCUUAAUUGCAGCAUGGGUUCAUUCCCAUUUAAUUACCUUGGUAUGAUGGUUGGCUCCAAUAUGAACAGAAUCGCAAAGUGGAAAUUAGUAGUGGAUCGAUUUAACUCUAAACUUUCUAGGUGGAAAGCAAAAUGCCUAUCGUUAGCAGGUGGAUCGAUUUAACUCUAAACUCUCUAGGUGGAAAGCAAAAUGCCUAUCGUUAGCAGGGAGAGUUACAUUGGCAAAAGCGGUGCUUGGUAAUCUUCCCACGUAUUACCUAUCACUUUAUAAAGCACCAGCAAAUGUUAUUAACACACUCGAAGGCAUCCGGAGGAGAUUCGUUUAGGGUGGAGUGAGUUCUAACAAAAAAAUUAGAUGGAUUAAAUGGGAGAAAAUGGUUGCUUCAAAGAAGUUGGGCGGGUUGGGGAUGGGAAGUAUCAGAGACGCAAACUUGGCACUGUUACUCAAAUGGUGGUGGAGAUUAAGGGAAGACGAAAAUCUGUUGUGGGUUAGGGUGAUGAAGGCAAUACAUGGGAGAAGCUGGAAAAACGAACUCAUUCUGGUUAAUAAAUCCUUAACGGGUGUGUGGAAGAACAUCGGGGCAAUCAAAAAAAGAGUUCCAAAAAAGCAACUUAAGUAUUGAUCUCAAGUUAAAAUGUGAAGUGAGAAAAGGAGACAAGGUAAGGUUUUAGGAAGAUAUAUGGUUAUGCAAUAAAACACUAAAGGAGGAGUUUCCACUGUUAUAUAAUAUGGCUUCAAAGAAAAGUGCUAGAGUUUAUGAAAAUUACAAGAAGAUAGGAUCGAGUGUAGUUUGGCACUAGGAUUGGAAGACUAUACUGUCAUCUUGCGAAAGUUGGGCUAAAUUUCUACGCCUUCUCGAAACACUUAACAAUAGACACAUGAAGGAUUCUAGUGAUGCGUGGGGAUGGGAAACGGAAAAAGGGAAGAUUAUUUUCGGUGAAAGUCGUGAGGGAUGAGCUAGGCGAUGCGACAUUCCAAAGAGAUGGUGAUCCCAUAAUGAAGUGGUGCGGGUGGGCAACAGCCAAGGUGAACACAUUGGUUUGGAGGUGUAUCUCGGGAAGGAUUCCAACGCGAAUAGAACUAGCUAAAAGAGGAGUGCAGGUUGGGUCUGUAAGUUGUCCAUUUUGCGGAUAUAUGGAGGAAACAGCUAACCAUAUUUUUGUUACGUGUAUCACGGCCAAAGCUAUUUGGUGGCUCGU